CUUUGUUUCCAUCGACAAACGACGACGACCAAAACAAAAAAAAAAAUUCUCAGCACCUCAAUCUGAUUCUCACCGACGAACCUCGAGAUCGUGAUGGCUCCCGCCGUUUCUCCGACGGAUCUGUGUAGCUCGUACGCCGCUACAGCCUCACCACUCUUUCUUGCUUCGAUUCCUUGACGGUAGUCAAAAAAAAAUUCCCCAAAUCUUUAGCUCGAUUUUCAGCAAACUCCCAUCAUCUAAGCAUCACCCGCUAGAACUUCAGUGAUCAAACACAUCACGUAUACUCCUUAGAACGUAACCGGCGACUCUCUAGAGCUUCAUCCGUUCUAUCAAUAAACCUGUCUCCCUUCAGCUUCUCUAUACUCGUCUCCCUUCAGCUGCCACAGCCGUUUAAGACGUUCUCUCAGCUUCUCCACCUUGAGCUAAGUACCAUGUGCCUCGCUUCCACAACGUCCCUGCAGGUAACCUUUUGCUUCUCCUAAGCCUUCCCAUUAUCGCUUUAAGAAAUAAUCCGGAGUUAUUAACUCAUUAUUUCUUCCUUUUGCGAGACAUCUUCGAUAACGGAGUUACCUGCGAUGUUCUUCGGUUUUUACUCGUUGAUGUUGAGGAGAUCACAGCAGAGAUCAAACUUAGGCCCGGGUUACUUGUUGUGCUGGAAUGGGCUUGAAGUGUUAAAGUUGAGGCCCACUUUACAUUCCAAACUCUUUGUUUCUGUUUGAUGGGUGAGAUUGAUGUAUUAUGAACAUAUCAUGUGAAAUUCUGUGUAUUGAUGUCCAAAAAGAGACCAAAAAAUCA